GACGAACGCUGGCGGCGUGCUUAACACAUGCAAGUCGAACGGAAAGGCCCUGCUUUUGUGGGGUGCUCGAGUGGCGAACGGGUGAGUAACACGUGAGUAACCUGCCCUUGACUUUGGGAUAACUUCAGGAAACUGGGGCUAAUACCGGAUAGGAGCUCCUGCUGCAUGGUGGGGGUUGGAAAGUUUCGGCGGUUGGGGAUGGACUCGCGGCUUAUCAGCUGGUUGGUGGGGUAGUGGCUUACCAAGGCUUUGACGGGCAGCCGGCCUGAGAGGGUGACCGGCCACAUUGGGACUGAGAUACGGCCCAGACUCCUACGGGAGGCAGCAGUGGGGAAUAUUGCACAAUGGGCGGAAGCCUGAUGCAGCAACGCCGCGUGCGGGAUGACGGCCUUCGGGUUGUAAACCGCUUUCGCCUGUGACGAAGCGUGAGUGACGGUAAUGGGUAAAGAAGCACCGGCUAACUACGUG
rnacentral:rRNA from 1 species